AUGGUGGUCUUGCGGGUUAAUCAAACGCCCUACCACCAACGAUUUCUUAAAGAAUAUUUGCUAAUUUGAUUUUAAAUAAAAGAUGAAUGAAUCCUUAAUCAUGGAAGUCUUCCAUGUAUAUAUGUCAAAUACGUGUUUCAUUGGAUUUAUUGAUAUCUGCCUGCGGGAUUCUAACACUGGUUCAGUCGCAUCUUUAUUAGAAAGUCGGCAGUCUCUAAUACACCGCUUAGGCCACGACGAUUUCAAAUUAAAUAGUAAAUUCUAGAAUAAAUGAGUUAGUUGUAUGGUUUUAUCAAUAAUAACGUGUACAACAGAUCCAUCUUACGCCGACAUGAGGCCGACAACGCUAGAACAACCAGUCGAUGAUAUUCUAGGCGAGAUGCUGCUAUUUUUUAUCAAGUAAUAGAUAGUGGAUUUGUUUGACUUGGCAAGAGUAGGCUUUGAUUUGAAUACCAGAAAUAUAGUGCAGUCUUUCACAGCUUGAAGGGAAAUAAAAGCUAUGCAGACUAUUCAAAAUAAUGUUCACCCAAGGUCAUGGGCAAUAUGACGUGAAUAGGAAACUGCAUGUCAGACAUUAACUUAAUGUUCUAUAUUAUUUUUAAACAAAUGAAUCUAAUAUUUUAAGACAAUAAAUAAAUAUUUAUUUUUAUAAUUAGCCCAGUUUUUCGUCGACGAAGCCAUCUUAAGAGAAGCUUCAUUGCAAAUAUCAGGCCGAUAUUUAACUAUAGCGGACAACAAACAAGAGUAGACACAUCGUGAGCUGUAGUUGUAGAAAGAGGAGAAAAUGGAAACUAAGGCGAACCACUGGCUCAAGCAGCUUUCAUUUUAGCAGAGGCUGCUCGUACGCAGGCAGAGGCCGCGCAUCUUCCAGCUGAGAUAUAUAGAAAAAUUCAAGGAAUUGACCAAUAUCGGCAAAAACCAUGUUUAAAAUAAUAAGUUCAAUUUUGUUUUAAUUUUAGCUGAGCCCGUAAUAGUUCAUAUUACCAUAAAAACGGAAUAGCGCUUGUUACAAUAGUCAAGCAAAUCCAAAUAUAUACGUUUUACUUUAGGCUGGUACUACAGUAAAUUUUAUGACACUAAUGAGUAUAUUUUACGCUAAUAAAACUACUCUCAACUUAGCAUUUCAAAA